AUUGAACGCUGGCGGUAGGCUUAACACAUGCAAGUCGUGCGAGAAAGUAUCUUCGGAUAUGAGUAGAGCGGCGGACGGGUGAGUAACGCGUAGGAAUCUACCUAGUAGAAGGGGAUAGCCCGGGGAAACCCGGAUUAAUACCGUAUACCUCCUUUGGGAGAAAGAAGGCCUCUCUUUGAAGCUUUCGCUAUUAGAUGAGCCUGCGUAAGAUUAGCUUGUUGGUGAGGUAAAGGCUCACCAAGGCGACGAUCUUUAGCUGGUCUGAGAGGACGAUCAGCCACAUUGGGACUGAGACACGGCCCAGACUCCUACGGGAGGCAGCAGUGGGGAAUAUUGGACAAUGGGCGCAAGCCUGAUCCAGCCAUACCGCGUGUGUGAAGAAGGCCUUCGGGUUGUAAAGCACUUUAAGCAGGGAGAAAAAGUUAUAAGUUAAUACCUUAUAACCCUGAUGUUACCUGCAGAAUAAGCACCGGCUAAUUCCGUGCCAGCAGCCGCGGUAAUACGGAAGGUGCAAGCGUUAAUCGGAAUUACUGGGCGUAAAGCGCGCGUAGGUGGUUUGUUAAGUUGGAUGUGAAAGCCCUGGGCUCAACCUAGGAACUGCAUCCAAAACUAACUCACUAGAGUACGAUAGAGGGAGGUAGAAUUCAUAGUGUAGCGGUGGAAUGCGUAGAUAUUAUGAAGAAUACCAGUGGCGAAGGCGGCCUCCUGGAUCUGUACUGACACUGAGGUGCGAAAGCGUGGGUAGCGAACAGGAUUAGAUACCCUGGUAGUCCACGCCGUAAACGAUGACAACUAGCUGUUGGGAGACAAAGUCUUUCAGUGGCGCAGCUAACGUUUUAAGUUGUCCGCCUGGGGAGUACGGCCGCAAGGCUA
rnacentral:rRNA from 1 species